rnacentral:rRNA from 1 species
CCUACGGGUGGCAGCAGUGAGGAAUAUUGGACAAUGGGGGAAACCCUGAUCCAGCGACGCCGCGUGAGUGAAGAAGUAUUUCGGUACGUAAAGCUCUAUCAGCAGGAAAGAAAAUGACGGUACCUGACUAAGAAGCCCCGGCUAACUACGUGCCAGCAGCCGCGGUAAUACGUAGGGGGCAAGCGUUAUCCGGAUUUAUUGGGUGUAAAGGGAGCGUAGACGGCAGCGCAAGUCUGGAGUGAAAUGUCGGGGCCCAACCCCGGAACUGCUCUGGAAACUGUGAAGCUGGAGUGCAGGAGAGGUAAGCGGAAUGCCUGGUGUAGCGGUGAAAUGCGUAGAUAUCAGGAGGAACACCGGCGGCGAAGGCAGCUUACUGGACUGUAACUGACGUUGAGGCUCGAAGGCGUGGGGAGCGAACAGGAUUAGAUACCCCUGUAGUC